GACGAACGCUGGCGGCGUGCUUAACACAUGCAAGUCGAACGGAAAGGCCCUGCUUGCAGGGUACUCGAGUGGCGAACGGGUGAGUAACACGUGGGUGAUCUGCCCUGCACUUCGGGAUAAGCCUGGGAAACUGGGUCUAAUACCGGAUAGGAGCCAUUUUUAGUGUGAUGGUUGGAAAGUUUUUUCGGUGUAGGAUGAGCUCGCGGCCUAUCAGCUUGUUGGUGGGGUAAUGUCCUACCAAGGCGGCGACGGGUAGCCGGCCUGAGAGGGUGGACGGCCACAUUGGGACUGAGAUACGGCCCAGACUCCUACGGGAGGCAGCAGUGGGGAAUAUUGCACAAUGGGCGCAAGCCUGAUGCAGCGACGCCGCGUGGGGGAUGACGGCCUUCGGGUUGUAAACUCCUUUCGCUAGGGACGAAGCUUUUUGUGACGGUACCUAGAUAAGAAGCACCGGCUAACUACGUG
rnacentral:rRNA from 1 species